AGUGGGGAUGUGAGGUGGGAGUGACUGUCGGGGAAGUGAGGACGGACAUUCAAGGCCACAGGCAGGUGCAUGGGAUGGGAAAAGCCCUGAUCUCCUGGCCCCAUGACUCUGACCUUGUAAACACCACAGUUGACUUGAUCCCCAUUCACCAAAGUGUCUGUGUAAGCAGGAAGCCCAAUUCCCAUUCUCAGAAACCCACCCCAAGACACUUUUAGGAUCACACGGUAACGUCUGCAUCAGAGGACCCCUUGAAGAUAUUUCAGCUGGCAAAUGCUUUGAUUUUUCAGAUGAGAACACUGUGGUCUGGAGAAGAAAAAGGAUUCGCUGAAUGUUUCACACAGCUAAAUACGAUUCCAGCACCCCCUUCCUUGCCAGGCCAGGCUGUUUCAUAGAGCACCGUAUCUCCUCUUUUGCUAUUUUCCCUGUGGACCCAGAGUGCAAAGAUGCUCUGAUUCUUGUUUUGCAAAUGGAGAAAUGGAGGCCAGAAGAGCCUCACCCUCUCAGUCUGCUGUCUUCUAGGCCUGAGCAUAGUCUUUAAGGACCCAAAUCCUACCCAUUCUUCAAGACAAAUUGAAAUGUUCCUUUUCCCGUGAACUCUUCUCCAGUCCACUGGCUGGAAGCAGUCACUCCCUCCCCCUGACCUCACCCCACUCCCAACACAAGCUCUCCAUCUGUCCCUCUCUGCGAUGGCUAACUUCCUACAAUGUGGUUUAGACACACAUGUCUACAACGUAACCCCUCCGCAAAGAUGUCAACAUCUUUGAGGCACGUUACAGAUGGCAACCGAAACUAAUCUUAACAACGUGAUCCUUAUUCUCUAAUGUGUUUUUGUAUUUUCAUGUUCCUUUUGCAAAGAUUAAAAAACAAAGAAAGGACCUAAUCUUAGAAUGCUGAUGCACUGCAACCUGCCUUCCCACAUAGGUCCUUCCCCUAAACAAUGACACCUCCUCCAGGAAGCAUCCAUGGAUAGACACAUACCAAGGACCUGGCAGCAGGAUGGAGGAGCCCUGGGUUUAGGCAAUAAGGGGACACACUCUGAAGGGAUUUCCAAAAUGGCAAUAUCAGUGUUCGCCGUUAUUCAGCCAUUUUCUCUGUUUUUGCAGAAGAUAAAUUUAUAUAGUUUUUGCCAAUGCAAUAGAAAUAUGAUGGAUUUUCUGCUGAAAGUAUUUUAAUAGGCAUUUUCAAGUGAAGACUUUGGAAAGCUGUUACAAUAGAUCCUGAAGAGAAACAGACAUGGGCAGUAUUGCAACUUCUGGAAUUUAUUGAGAAAUGGAAUGUCUCAUGCAUCUCUGCCAAACUUGCCCUUGGGUAGAUAUUAAAAUUCCUAUUUGUAAACCUGUUGCUUCGUGUGAAAAAUUACAAAAUUAAAAUUAAGAAAAAAAAUUCUUCCAUCAACUAUGAGAGAAGAUAGCUUGACAAAUCUGGUUACAUUGUCUCCUGAACAUGAAUAUGCAAAGGACACCAUUCUGGACAAGAUCAUUGACAGAUUUACAGAAGUUAAGGCACAAACAUAGAAUCUGUAAUAUCGUUCAUUAUUCCGACCAACAUGCGAGUAUGCAUUUUUUUUCUUUUUAAAAAAAAUACAUUAAUGUAAUUACAAAGUAUUACUCUAUUACUUUUUUCCCUUUUUCACUCUUUGAUUUUUGUUACUAAUCGGAUUUUGUAUAUGAUGUUCGAUAGAAGAAAAACUUCAUGGCUUUCCGGCUGUUAUUAUUUGUUUUAAUUUAUAAUUGUUAAUGAAAAUAGUUGUGUUGUUCAGAGGAAAGGAGGUUAAAAAUUAUCGGCUCUGAGUACACCCCUGGGUGCCUCCUUGCCCAGGGUGGGUACAAUUUCCUCUCCUCAGGACCUUUGACUCACUCAUCCCCCAUAGCAUUUUUGAAAUAAGGCUUUUAUGAGGCUAUGUCUCUGGCAAGUUAAGGUUGACCAGUUGUCUUCCUUAUUAAAUUGUAAUCAUCUUGGUUCUGGGUCCUUGUCUAUUUUUUCAAGUGGGAAAGAAAUUUCCUCCCCAGGAAUUCCUGGUAAUAUACCAAAAGGUUUAUCCACCUCGGUACUACGACAUAUCAGGCUGGAUAAUUCUUUGCUGUGAGGGCUGUCCUAUGCAUCAUUCCUGGCCUCUACCCACCAGAUGCCAGCAGCACCCCCACCCCAAUCCCAGUUGUGACAGUUAAAAUUGUUUCCAGAAAUGGCCCAGCUGAGAACCACUAUGUUAGACUGAAACUCAGCAGCUUGUAUGAAAAUGGACUUGGAAGAGGCCCUCUUCUACAAUAAGUUGUUGAACUUGGACCAGUCCUCCUACCAUCACUAAGUGUGUGUUUUCUGCAUCUGUAAAGUUGGAACAAGAACAUCUACUUUACUUUGAUGUGGUGUUCAAAAAAGAUAAUGUGUAGAAAAAUGACUUGUAUGCUCUAAAUCUGCUUGCAGAUGUGUAAGGUCAUUAUAAUACAGAGGUCAAAUAUUUUACACUGAAAUUCACUUGUGGGAAAAAAUGUAGCUUUUACAAGUAUCCAUAAUUGAUUUCAUCUUUGAGUCCCUAGAAAACUUAAUUGGCCAAUUAAAAGGAAUUUCUUCUUUUCCAAUUUAAAACAGGCUCUUUCAUUCAACUUAAUUUUUGGGGGUUAAGAAUUCAAUCAAUUCCAAAUCCAAAUGUCCGGGGAAGUUUUGCUCAAGAUAUGUCUCCACCUUCUUCUCUUUCUCCAGAUUGUAUGUGGAGAGGAGGAACUCACAAGCCCUAUGGUAGUGGGGGUUGUGUUGGCUCCACGAGCUGAUGUCUUGGUCUGGUUCCUGGGUGUCUGCCUGGAAAGGGAAUCCUACUUCGUCCUCUGGAGUUUGUGUGUGGUCCCCAACUCGGCCUCCAGAGAUGGAAAAAUCGAGCACUAGAAAACAGAAGUGACUUAUCCAAAGCCACCAAACUUGUCUAUGACAAUCACACCUGGAACCCUGACGUGUUGAUUCUCCCAUCCUGUGCCUCUCCCACCAGGCCUGGACAGAGCUGGCUGAAAUGUGGACUCCAUCACAAACAUCAAACAGAGGGUGCAACGAUACCAAUCAGAACCACACCAAGAAUUGGUCCUGGGCAGAAUUCUUAGAAAAUAGAUGAUUGCAGCGAUAAUAAGCUACUACGCGGGGCUACUGUGGUCAAACAGCCCGAAAGGUACUUAAGUCCUGAAAAUGAGUGACGACUCAAUUUAUACUGAGAGGAAAGCAAUAAUACCAAGCAUGUGUUCAGGAAUCCAAACUUAAUUGUAAUCACUAAUUAGCUAAUUUUCAACCUCCGGGGCAUAAACAUCUCAAAGCAGCAAUGCGCUGUCUUUGCAUAUAGAUUUAUUUAGGACCAAGUCCCAAGGAGUGGAGGAGAGAGAGAGAGAGAGAGAGAGAGAGAGAGAGAGAGAGAGAGAGAGGGAGAGAGAGGGAGAGGGAGAGAGGAUGAGAAUAUGUGUUGGAAAACUGAAGAAGGAAGCAGUAGAAAGUUCAGAGAGUCCAGUGGUGUGAGAAGAGAAAGGAAUGAGAACACAGUGCCCUAACAAUGCUACGUAUGGCUCUUUACAUCCUAAACACACUUCCUUGAUCAGUUAUGUCCAAAACUCCUCUGGCUGUAAUGGCUGAGAAGACCUGGAGAAAAAAGUAACAUUCCCUGUAACCCUCCUGACCAUGGUCUGCCUUCAAGAGCCAUAAGGUUGAGUCCUUAGGAAAACAGAACAAAAGAAAACACACCCAGAAAAAGACAACUCACUUCCCUCUGAGGACCGUCAUUAAACACCAGAUGUGCAGGAGGAAGGAGACUCUAAACCAAAGCAGAUGUGUGGACACCAAGUCCCCAAGCCACCUCUCCUUCCAGGCUUCUCUCUACAAGUCCCUGUGCCUUUCAGACGGAGGGGAGCUUCAUCUCCACCCCAUGCGAACUACAUCAGUCCCUGGCUUUAGAGAUGCCAUGCUGCCGGUGGGUGGGGAUGGUCCAGACACUGUCACACUCUCCCCCUGGAUGGACUCCUCCCUUCUCCGCCCCCCCAGUCCACUCUUACUCAGCUCAGAAGUCACCUCUUCAUGUUGCAUUUGCAUCUAGACUCUUUCCUCUGUGCUUGAAGAUGAGGACACUGACAUUUAGACAUCUAUUGUGUAUUCACCAUGUGCUGCGGUACAGGCUCUUCAGUCUGAGAUCUGGGAACAGCUGGGUUUCUUCUUCAGAACUCCUCUGCGUUUUCACUGGCACUCCAAAUCAUUUCACUAACAUAUUUCUUUUCUUUAUUGCCUGCGAUGCUAAGACACUCAAAGCCAAAUUUAUGACCCAUCGCUAGCAAUUACACAGACUCUGGUGAUGUGAUCGUCUAAGAUCCUAAUCGUAUCGCUUGUUUUUCCUCAUUUUUUUCUUUUUCUUAUCCUCGCUUUUCCUUCCCCCUGGUUGUAUGACCUGCUUUAAAAAGAAAGUCAUUGGGCUCAUUUUUGUUGUGAGUGGGUAAACUCCGAUUUGGUCUGAAAUGAAUCAUGAUACAAAUAAAAAGUAAAAGGUAUUAUGUAAACACCCCUGAAAUUUUCAUAAUCAUCUUGGAGCUUGCGAGGCAAGUAGAGCUCAGAGAGUUUCCAUAACUUAUUCAAGGUCAUGCAACAUUUGACCUAGGAGUCAAAUCUAUGUCCUUCUGACUUCAAAGCUCAUGUCCUUGACAGUUAUAAUUGCUUCUACUUAGCGAGAGCUUACUAGGUACAGGGUUUUAUGCUGAAUGUCCAAUGUGCAUUAUCUAUUGUAAUUUUAUCCUCACAACGAUCUUAUGAAGCAGCUACUAUUAUUACAACCAUUUUGCAGAGGAAGAAAAUGAGGUUCAGAAAGAUCCAAUAAUUUACCCACGCAGCCUGAACUUUGAAUCUCUGCAUGCUUCCUAGUUUCUCUAACAUAUAAGCAUGCACCAAAAAAGAAAAAAAAAGAUUCCUAAUUAAAUGUUUGACUUUU